GUUAGGGAAAUAUAAUCAUUAAUUAGAUACACAUUUACUCAUUUUAGGAAGAAAUAUCUGGAUCCACUUGAAUAAAACGAAGAAAUAGCAUUUUUAGGUUAAAAGUCAAAGCUAAUUGCUAAAUUAAUGGAAACCAGUGUAGAUAUCCCAUCAUGGAGGAAUGCGUGGUCAAAAGCUAAACUACUAAUUGAAGGCAAAUUUUAUAUUUUAUUAUUUUCUUUUGAUUUUUUUUUUCUUGUCUAAACUUCUUUUUGGUAACUUGCAAAGUAAGUACAAAAGCUUCUCCACAAUUCUCAAUUUUCAACCACACAACAAAAUUGGACUGAGAAAGAAAAGAGAUAUUAUCAAGAAACUCUCACCAAGCAAGUUGGUCUCUCAAUGGAAUCAAUCAUUGUCAUGACUCAUGACCCACUGUAAUAAACAUUACAGACCAAGCAUCAUUGUCUUAUAUCUCUAUACUUUUGGUUGUUGUAUCAAUUUUGGACAUAUUUCGUAAAUAAAAGAUUGAACAUUUUGAGGUUUCAUGGGCUCUACUCAUCCAUAAGAAUCAUAAGAUGAAAGGUACAUUUUAUUUCCGAUAUUGACUUUCAAGAAUCUUAAAUGUCGCAAAUAGUACAUAUUGCUUAUAAAUGGAUAUGCUUCUCUGUUCAACCAACUAACAAUUUCAACAUUUAAAACAACUUUUAC
rnacentral:lncRNA from 1 species